rnacentral:tRNA from 1 species
GGGGAUUUAGCUCAGCAGUUCGAGCACUUGCCUGGUAAGCGUGAGGUUGUGAGUUCAAUUCCCG